GGAUGGAAAGGCUACAACUUAGUUUUUUCACAUGCAUUAAUUUACAAGCCAAAAAGGCAACAAAUAUAGUGAAACAGUGGAAAAAAUGUUACAAUCUGAACACUUAUGGUUCCAAGCAUUCCAUUAUCUCCAUACCGGUCAUAUCUGUGGAUUCAGAAGAUUGGAAAGGGGCAUGCAAUACAAAGACAAAAAUGAAAGUCAAUUCAUUUCAAACUUAAUACAAAGACAAAAAUGAAAGUCAAUUCAUUUCAAACUUACUCAAAAUAGUUAACAUCAUCCAGUUGACAGGAUCCCUCAACACAACAUAGCUAAAAACAAGAAAGGAGUCCCAUCCACUGGAGAACACAGCUACAUCAAAAGAGAGCAGCAAAUGAAGCGCAACUAAAGAGGAAAAAGAAAAAAAAAAUAGAGAACAAAGAAAAAUAACUCACUUCUGCAAGCUGAAAUAUCUACACAACUGAGGUAUCCAAGGUACAGAAUUGAUAACCCAAAGCAAGAGGUGAA
rnacentral:lncRNA from 1 species